UAAAGAGCUCGUAGGCGGUUUGUCGCGUCUGCUGUGAAAAUCCGAGGCUCAACCUCGGACCUGCAGUGGGUACGGGCAAACUAGAGUGCGGUAGGGGAGAUUGGAAUUCCUGGUGUAGCGGUGGAAUGCGCAGAUAUCAGGAGGAACACCAAUGGCGAAGGCAGAUCUCUGGGCCGUAACUGACGCUGAGGAGCGAAAGCGUGGGGAGCGAACAGGAUUAGAUACCCUGGUAGUCCACGCCGUAAACGGUGGGAACUAGAUGUAGGGACCGUUCCACGGUUUCUGUGUCGCAGCUAACGCAUUAAGUUCCCCGCCUGGGGAGUACGGCCGCAAGGCUAAAACUCAAAGGAAUUGACGGGGGCCCGCACAAGCGGCGGAGCAUGCGGAUUAAUUCGAUGCAACGCGAAGAACCUUACCAAGGCUUGACAUAUAGAGGAAAAGUGAAAAAAUACACUCCCCGCAAGGUCUCUAUACAGGUGGUGCAUGGUUGUCGUCAGCUCGUGUCGUGAGAUGUUGGGUUAAGUCCCGCAACGAGCGCAACCCUCGUCCUAUGUUGCCAGCACGUAAUGGUGGGAACUCAUGGGAUACUGCCGGGGUCAACUCGGAGGAAGGUGGGGAUGACGUCAAAUCAUCAUGCCCCUUAUGUCUUGGGCUUCACGCAUGCUACAAUGGCCGGUACAGAGGGCAGCAAUACCGCAAGGUGGAGCGAAUCCCAAAAAGCCGGUCUCAGUUCGGAUUGAGGUCUGCAACUCGACCUCAUGAAGUCGGAGUCGCUAGUAAUCGCAAAUCAGCAACGUUGCGGUGAAUACGUUCCCGGGCCUUGUACACACCG
rnacentral:rRNA from 1 species